UACGAAGGGUGCAAGCGUUACUCGGAAUUACUGGGCGUAAAGCGCGUGUAGGCGGCCAUCUAAGUCGGGCGUGAAAUCCCACGGCUCAACCGUGGAAGUGCACUCGAAACUGGAUGGCUAGAGUCCUGGAGAGGAAGGUGGAAUGCUUGGUGUAGAGGUGAAAUUCGUAGAUAUCAAGCGGAACACCGGUGGCGAAGGCGGCCUUCUGGGACAGUGACGUGACGCUGAGA
rnacentral:rRNA from 1 species